rnacentral:misc_RNA from 1 species
AACCCCGCCCAGAUCCCCCUGAAGGUAAUACCCAAUUCGCCGUAUAUUCAUUUCAUUUACUUUGCACAGAGCCUUAGCUUCAAAAUCAUAUCUACCCCUUGUUUCCUCUUUGUUGAUUACACUUCAUUUUGUACAGUGAGUUCUUUGGAAUUAUAAUAAACUGAGUCACAUAAUCUUUAUAGAAUCCAGCAUGGUGGUGUUUAUUUAUUUACAGAAUCCUACAGAAUGGGAAUUCACAUAUACGAGUUAUCGUUUUGUUUACUGAACAUUUAUUUUCUUUUUUACAGUGUUUCAGUAGGAAUAUAAGUG